CACGUAGGGCGCAAGCGUUGUCCGGAAUUAUUGGGCGUAAAGAGCUCGUAGGCGGUCUGUUGCGUCUGCUGUGAAAACUCGAGGCUCAACCUCGAGACGUCGGCGGAAACCCUCUGGCUAGAGUCCGGUAGAGGCAAGUGGAACUAGCGGUGUAGCGGUGAAAUGCGCAGAUAUCAGGAAGAACACCUAUGGCGAAGGCAGCUCUCUGGGACGGUACUGACGCUGAGACGCGAAAGCGUGGGGAGCGAACAGG
rnacentral:rRNA from 1 species